UUAAAUUGAAGAGUUUGAUCAUGGCUCAGAUUGAACGCUGGCGGCAGGCCUAACACAUGCAAGUCGAACGGUAACAGGAAGCAGCUUGCUGCUUCGCUGACGAGUGGCGGACGGGUGAGUAAUGUCUGGGAAACUGCCUGAUGGAGGGGGAUAACU
rnacentral:rRNA from 15 species